AAUUUUAUAGUCAAUAUAUGAUAUUAAAUUGCAAAUUUAAAGUAAUAAUUUACAUUAUUAAAAUUU
rnacentral:tRNA from 1 species